rnacentral:rRNA from 1 species
UACGUAGGUGACAAGCGUUGUCCGGAUUUACUGGGCGUAAAGAGCGCGCAGGCGGUCGAUCAAGUCGAGUGUGAAAGCCCCCGGCUCAACUGGGGAGGGUCAUUCGAUACUGAUCGACUCGAAGGCAGGAGAGGGUAGUGGAAUUCCAGGUGUAGCGGUGAAAUGCGUAGAUAUCUGGAGGAAUACCGGUGGCGAAGGCGGCAUCCUGGACCGACAUUGACGCUGAGGAGCGAAAGCUAGGGGAGCAAACGGG